GGUCCUCCAGAGCCAAGGCCCCUCCCUCCCCAGUCCUUUCCUGCUUUGGUGUCUCCCUGGGAUCUGGUGAGUCUCCUCUCUCUCUGGGAUCUGGUGGGGGUCCCAGGGCUGGGGCAGGGGAGGGUGCCUGGGGGGCCUGAUCUGCUCCUGCAGGGGGGGGGACCCCAAGUCAGGGAGGAGAGGGUCCUGCCAGGGAGGGGCCAGGUCUGCCACGCUCUCCUUCCUGCAGAUCAGAGGAUCCCAAACUCAUUUGGCCUUCCCCCCCCCUUCAGAAAAACAAUGACUCCCCCGAAAUCUCAUUUCUUUAAAGAAAGGAGUCCGAUUACACAACAGAGGGAACAAAUGUGCAAAUGGUUUUCCAAAGCUGGAGGAGGAGGUGGACACUCUAGCCCCUCCCCCCCAAAAAAAGGUGGGAGAGAAAGGCCAGGAAUAAAGAGAGGGAUCCCAGCCCAGAGUCUGGCUGCUGCAUUGGAGGCCAGUUUCCCAGUGUCUCCAAGCUCAGCUCCCCAUGGAGGCCACUGCAGCAAUCCCCUCGCACCCAGAGCAGGGCAUCCCAGGACCACAUCCUCUCUCUGUCCCAAAGGGAUUGUUGCUGGAAAAGCAGCCGGAAAUUACCCACAGCUACUCACCGAGCCUCCAGGGUUAAGCUAUCUAAUUGAAUAAUAAUAAUAAAUUACCCACCUAAAUUUCAAGGGAGAUGUCUUUGGCCCCGCCCACUGGGCCCUCAGGGGGUUGACCAGAUGCAUACCUGGCCCUCAGAGCAAAGAAAAAGGGACCCCACCCCAGGAGUUUGUCUUGAGAGUGGCAGAGAGUCCAAGUGCAAUAAAAGGAGACAGAAGCAGGGGAGUGGGGAUGGGGGGAGAGCAACUUCUGAGGACCCCCAGGUGAGGACCCCCACUAGAGCCAAACAUCCAUUAUGCAAAAGAUACAAAUGACUUCCUUGUCAGUCAGGUCUGACUUCAUGCAUUGCCUCUGUUUCUCUGUUUUGAAUCCUUGUUUCUUUCUCAGGGAAAGGAUCUCUUUGCAGAAAUGGACCUGGAUUCCUGUGAGGCAGAGAGGCCUCCGUUGGACACCAGAGAGAGGCCACUGGGUAAGGAGGAAGGUGGUUUUACUCCAUUUGGUCUCAUUCUGUUGGUUUUCCAACUCAUCUCAGGGUUCUUUUCAUCUUGUUUUGGGGGGAGACAGUUGGGAGGAAGGGUCCAGAGGAAGGGAGAUGUAUUUCUGCACAAACAAACAUAUGAAAUGGGCACAAACAUCCAAAUGCUCUCAGUAGGUAAGUCCUUCUCAAAGGCCCAUCUGUAGCUAGAGAUGCCCUGUUUCACCUGUGAGAGAAGCAGGCACUCCUGGCAUCCUGAUUACCUUUUUUCUCUUGCAGAUGGCAGAAGGAUGCCAGCAAGACCUCCUGAUCCCCCUUUUCCUGGGGGCCGAAGGGAAGCAGCAGCUGUGGAACCAGAUCAGGUCAGGGGAAGCUGCCUUGUGGGGACAGAGGCCGAGGGAUGGAGCAAUGUCAUGGACUGGUUGGGCACAGAGGAAUGGUGGGAGGAAGCAGCCAGGGAACCAGGAAGGGAAGACGGCUCAGAGCCGAAGGAGUGGAAGUGGGGGAAGGAUGAGCGGUCAGAGGGAGAAGCCUGGGAAGAGGAAGUGUCAGAAGCUGGAAUGGUAACUGGGCUUAGUGGGCUUGGAGACUCUGUGGCAGAAUGCAGUGCAGAAUCAGAGGCAGAAGAGGAAGGAGAUGAGUGGGCAGAGGGAGGGCGAGAGGCAGAGGUGAGUCAGGAUAAGGAGGAGCCACUGGGGGCUCACUCUCCUUCUCAUAGAAUCAUAGAAUCAUAGAGUUGGAAGAGACCACAAGGGCCAUCGAGUCCAACCCCCUGCCAAGCAGGAAACACCAUCAGAGCACUCCUGACAUAUGGUUGUCAAGCCUCUGCUUAAAGACCUCCAAAGAAGGAGACUCCACCACACUCCUUGGCAGCAAAUUCCACUGUCGAACAGCUCUUACUGUCAGGAAGUUCUUCCUAAUGUUUAGGUGGAAUCUUCUUUCUUGUAGUUUGGAUCCAUUGCUCCGUGUCCGCUUCUCUGGAGCAGCAGAAAACAACCUUUCUCCCUCCUCUAUGUGACAUCCUUUUAUAUAUUUGAACAUGGCUAUCAUAUCACCCCUUCUGCCAGAAGCCACCCUCCCUGCUUGUCUCUCAGAGCCAGGAGAUGUCUGACAAUGGAGGAGCAAAGGCAAGCUGCACACUGGCGCACUGUUCGAUCACUUGCCAGAAACCCCAGAGAGAAGGGGACUUAGAAAGCUGUCGGGAGCCGACGGCCUUCAUUCUCUGCAACUGAUUUCAUUGAGGAAGAUGCUCAGGGAAUGAGCUGCUGUUCUCAUUAGGUCUGAAACUCAGCCAAGUCUGCGAAUAUCAUGUUCUUGCUGAUAAAGAGUUAACUCCAGCUGUGAACUGUGGGAUUUCCUGCCCAUUUAACUCUGCUAUACCAGCCUUCUGAACGUCACCACUACGAUUCAUCAGUAGUUGCUGUUUUCAUAGACUCCUAGAGUUGAAAGGGACCCCAAGGGUCAUCAAGUCCAACCCCCUGCAUUGCAGGAGUCUCAGCUAGAUCAUCCAAGACAGAUGGCCAUCCAGACUAGGCUUAUUGUAUUUCUAUGCUGAUCAUUGAAUGCUAAAAUUUCUAAGAAGUGUACAAAUGAGAACAAAUAGUGGCCAGCAUUCACCUAACCAGCCCCAUAAGAUGAAAAAUGGGGCCUGCCCCCCAUCCCUCCCCCUCUCCACGCCUCCCUGAACCCAUUGAAUUUGGCUCUGGGGCAUUGGGAGGGAACCUCCCCAGAACAACUCACGAGGAGAGGAGAAAGUGGAUCCUUCCAUCUGGGAAACUGGAAUGCUUGGGUAGGCAGAAUGAUUUGAAAACCACAAUGUGGAGUACCACCUAUUUGCACAAAGUCGAAUACCCAUACUGUAAGGGAGUCUCGAUAACGAGAGUACUUGAUUAAAAGCAAGAUUUAUUGCAAAACAAACGAAGUUCAUCGGAGCGGCAAGCAUGGCCAUCCUUCCAUAAUCAAAGAUGUCUCUUCUAAGGAGGGGGCUUCCAGUGAGCCCAGAAGCAGUCAAACUUCCAUGGUCUUUCCUGCUCUCUAAAUUGCUUUCCUUUCUAACUGCUGUGUUUUGUUCUUCACUGACCCUCAGGCAGGCUGCAGGCUGACUCUCUGAACUCUUGUUUUCAGUUUGCAUUCCUAAGGGAGGGGGAGUUGACUCCCGUGUAACCCUCUCUCUCCCUGGCUGCUUCCUUCCCUGGGAGCUGGCUCAUUCAUGUCACAUACACAACCGAGUUUUCUGUAGCGGAUCAUAUUUCUGCUGUCUCAGAGGAGGACUUUUCCCUUUUUCUUUCAGGGUCCAGUGUGCUUGGAAGAUGCUGCUGUUCGUUUCACGGACGAGGAGUGGGCGUUGCUGGAUCCUGACCAGAGAGCUCUGCAUAUGGACGUCAGGGAGGAGAAUCGUGGGAUUGUGGCCUCUCUUGGUAAGGCUCCCUGUGGAAUUGUCCUAUCUGCCUGGAAAUUCAAAAAAUGCCUCUAUGUGAGGAACCUCAUCUAUUUUCAGAGCUCAACAGUGUCCCCUACAACCCGUGGGAUCCUAACACCAUCAUCAUCAUCAUCAUCAUCGUCAUCUUUAUUAUUUAUACCCCGCCUAUCUGGCUGGGUAUAAUUUGCUGGGUUGAACAACAAAUUACUAUUCUUUCUGUGAACAGUCUUCCUCCAGUCCUGCCUUUUUAUACCAUGAUGGGGCUGGGCUGGACUGCCCAGGCCAUCUUAAAUGUCAGCUUCAGAGUUGUUGGGAAAGAUAAGUAACCUCUGUCAGGUUUUCUGUUUUUGCUCCUGUCAAUCUUGGGUUAACCAACGAGACAGCUGGCAUUGGGGAUGGAGGGGAUGCCAUGACUGGGCCAAACAAAAUCCAUCCCAGAGAACAGGCAGGCUUUUCGAAUCUCAGAUAAUAAUAGUAAUAAUAGUGAUAAUAGUAAUAAUAGUAAUAAUAAUUUGUUCAUACCCUGCCCAUCUGACUGGGUUUCCCAGCCACUCUGGGCAGCUCCAAGCAGAAGAUUACAACCACGAUGAAACAUCAAAUAUUAAAAUCUUCCCUGAACAGGGCUGUCUUCAGAUGUCUUCUAAAAGUCUGAUAGUUGUUUAUUUCAUUAACAUCUGAUGGGAGGGCAUUCCACAGGGCGGGCGCCACUACCAAGAAAGCCCUCUGCCUGGUUCCCUGUAACCUCACUUCUCUCUGUCAGGGAACCACCAGAAGGCCCUCGGAGCUGGACCUCAGUGUCUGGGCUGAACGAUGGGGGUGGAAACGCUUCUUUGGGUAUACUGGGCCAAGACCGUUUAGGGCUUUCAAGGUCGGCACCAACACUUUGAAUUGUGCUCGGAAACGUACUGGGAGCCAGUGUAGGUCUUUCAGGUCUGGUGUUAUUUGGUCUCAGCCUGCAUACCAAAUGGAGCUGGUAGACAGCUGCCCUAGACACUGAAUUGACCUGCACCUCCAUGGACAGCUGUGUGUCCAAAAAGGAAAAAGCGAGGGAGAGGGGGGAAAGAAAAGAAAAGAAAAGAAAAGAAAAGAAAAGAAAAGAAAAAGGAAUAAAAGUAUGAAUAGAGUAAAAAACAUAGUAAUAUCUCAUAUUUCAGUCAGCAAAGAAAAGAAACUUCCGACUAUACCCAUUGUACUAAUUUUCAAAUAAACUGUUAUUUACACAGUUACACAACAUUGUUUUUUGUUAACUUAAUUUAACUUUAUCUGACAUGUACUUUGUAUUACAAGGCUCCUUCAAUAUCUGCCAGAAAACUUUUACUAUUCCAGUACUCUCUGAGGUAUUCCUUAAUUAUUAACCAAUCCUUAUUUACUUCUUGUUUUUUUUUUUUUAAAGAUAUUUAUUAAAGUUUCACAAAAAUACAGAAAACAAAGAAAAAAGUGUAAAUUACAGCAAAAAAGCAAAAAGUAAGAAAAAACAUACAAAAUAAAACAGUUAAAAACACAAUAAUGUUCCAUAACCUAUCUUCCUUACUCUUAUUUCCCCAGACCUCCUCAUACCUCCCUUCUUUGUAUUCCAAUUCAGUUUGUUGGUUCAGCAAAUCCUUACCAUUAAUCUUUUACCCAAUUGUUAACCUUUUUUUCCCAUGUCUCUUAAAGCAUUACAGCUAAAAACCUCUUAAUUUCUAUCCAGCAUCCUUCUAAAGUUCCUUAAUUUUACAAUAUUUCUGUAAAUAGUCCUUAAAUUUUUUCCAGUCUUCUUUCACCGACUCUUCUCCCUGGUCUCGGAUUCUGCCAGUCAUUUCCGCCAAUUCCAUGUAGUCAAUCACCUUCAUCUGCCAUUCUUCCAAAGUGGGUAGAUCUUGUGUCUUCCAAUACUUUGCGAUAAGUAUUCUUGCUGCUGUUGUAGCAUACAUGAAAAAGGUUCUGUCCUUCUUUGGCACCAGUUGGCCGACAAUGCCCAAGAGAAAGGCCUCUGGUUUCUUCAGAAAGGUAUAUUUAAAUACCUUUUUCAGUUCAUUAUAUAUCAUUUCCCAGAAAGCCUUAAUCUUUGGGCACGUCCACCAAAGGUGAAAGAAUGUACCUUCAGUUUCUUUACAUUUCCAACAUUUAUUAUCGGGCAAAUGAUAAAUUUUUGCAAGCUUGACUGGGGUCAUGUACCACCUGUAUAUCAUUUUCAUAAUAUUCUCUCUUAAGGCAUUACAUGCCGUAAACUUCAUACCUGUGGUCCAUAACUGUUCCCAGUCAGCGAACAUAAUAUUAUGUCCAACAUCUUGUGCCCAUUUAAUCAUAGCAGAUUUCACCGUUUCAUCCUGAGUAUUCCAUUUCAACAGCAAGUUAUACAUUCUUGACAAAUUUUUAGUUUUGGGUUCUAACAAUUCUGUUUCUAAUUUUGACUUUUCCACUUGGAAGCCUAUUUUCUUAUCCAAAUUAUAUGCCUCCAUUAUCUGAUAGUAGUGGAGCCAAUCUCUCACUUUAUUUUUUAAUUUUUCAAAACUCUGCAGUCUCAAUUUAUCUCCUUCUUGCUCCAAAAUUUCCCAAUAUGUCGGCCAUUUGGCCUCCAUAUUGAGCCUUUUCAGAGCUUUUGCUUCCAUUGGUGACAGCCACCUUGGGGUUUUAUUUUCCAAUAAGUCUUUGUAUCUUAUCCAGACAUUAAACAAUGCUUUCCUAACAAUAUGAUUUUUAAAUGCUUUGUGUGCUUUGACCUUAUCAUACCAUAAGUAUGCAUGCCAUCCAAAUACAUUGUUAAAACCUUCUAAAUCCAAAAUGUCUGUAUUUUCAAGAAGUAGCCAUUCUUUCAGCCAGCAAAAAGCUGCUGAUUCAUAAUAAAGUUUAAGGUCUGGCAGGGCAAAUCCACCUCUUUCCUUGGCAUCAGUUAAUAUCUUAAAUUUUAUUCUGGGCUUCUUGCCCUGCCAGACAAAUCUAGAAAUAUCUCUCUGCCACUUCUUGAAACAGUCCAUCUUAUCUACAAUUUGUAAUGUCUGAAACAAAAACAACAUUCUAGGCAAUACAUUCAUCUUUAUCACAGCAAUACGGCCCAGCAACGAGAGUUUCAAAUUUGACCAAAUUUCUAAAUCUUUUUCACUUCCGUCCAACAUUUUUCGUAAUUAUCUUUAAAUAAGUUCCCAUUUUUGGCUGUCAUAUUAAUCCCCAAGUAUUUCACUUUCUUUACCACAUUCAAUCCUGUCUCAUUCUGAAACCUCUCUCUUUCAAUCGGUGUUAAGUUUUUCUCUAAAACCUUAGUUUUUAACUUGUUCAAUUUAAAACCUGCCACCUGACCAAAUUCCUGAAUUAAUUCUAAAACUCUUUUAGUACUAGAUUCUGGCUCCUGUAACGUCAAUACUAGGUCAUCUGCAAAUGCUCUCAAUUUGUACUGUUUAGCUCCGACCUGUAUGCCCUUAACCAACCGGUCCUUUCUAAUCAUAUUUAGCAAAACCUCCAGGACCGAUAUAAAAAGCAGUGGGGAAAUUGGGCACCCCUGUCGUGUCCCUUUUUCUAUCUUAAAUUCUUCCGUAACCACAUUAUUUACGAUUAAUUUAGCCUUUUGUUCAGAGUAUAUUGCACCUAUACCAUUUUCAAAACCUUGGCCUACCCCCAUCCCAUGCAGAUUCUUCUUCAUAAAACUCCAAGAGAUAUUAUCAAAAGCUUUCUCCGCGUCAACAAAUAUCAAUACUGCUUUGGUGUUUAUAUUCACUUCUAAUUUUUCCAAAAUAUCAAUUAUAUUCCUCAAAUUAUCAGACAGGUGUCUUCCCGGGAGAAAGCCCGCUUGGUCUUUAUGAAUCUCUUUCAUCAAUAUUUUUUCAAUCUCUUGGCCAAAAUGUCUGCAAAAAUUUUGUAAUCCACAUUAAGUAACGAUAUAGGGCGAUAGUUCUUAAGCUGAGUCUUUUCAGUCUCUGUUUUCGGUAUAAGUGUGAUAUACGCCUCUUUCCACGAUUCUGGUGCCCUUUUCCCUCCAGUAUUUCAUUGCAGACUUCCUUCAAAGGUUGCAGUAACCACUCUUUCAAAGAUCUAUAGUAUCUGGAAGUCAGCCCAUCCGGUCCUGGAGAUUUGCCCAAUUGCAUAUUUUGUAUGGCACCUUCUACUUCCUGUUCAGAUAUUUUAUAGUUCAGCAUUAAUUUACUUUCUUGAGAGAUUUUUGUAGGCCAUUUGUCUUCAAAAAUUGGUCUAUGUCCAUUUCCUUCUGUGGCCCUUGUGUGUAUAAUUGUUUAAAGUACUUCUGGAAGCAAUUUCUAAUCUCAUUUGGAUUAUGUAUACUCUUUCCUUCCACUUCUAAAUUUAUAAUAGUAUUUAAUUUUUGUCUUUUUUUCAUUUGCCAGGCCAACAGUUUUCCACAUUUAUUAGCUGAUUCAAAUGUUUUUUGUCUCAUUUGUUUGAUUUUCCAUUCUAUUUCCUGAUUCAUCAUUUCCAUAUAUUGUACUUGAUAUAAUUUUAUUUCUCUCAAAAUAUCCUGGGACUUUGGUUUUGCUCUCAAUUUCUUCUCUCCUUCUUUUAUUUUUUCCAAAAUUUUAUCUUUCUUUUCAUUUUGACUUCUCUUCUUUAUUGCAUUCUGUUGUAUCAAAAACCCUCUCAUCACAGCUUUGCUUGCGUCCCAGAUUACUCUUUUUUCUACAUUGGUAUUCAUAUUUAUUUCAAAAUAGUCUCUCAAAGUCUUUUGGGCCUUUUUGUAAACUUCUUCAUCUCUAAAUAAGGUGUCAUUCAUCCUCCAUCUAAAGGAUCCGGUUGUUGUUUGUUUCAUCUCCAUCCUUACAGCAUUAUGGUCGGAACAAGUUUUUGGGCAGAUUUCUACCUUCUUUAUCUUUGGUGCCAUUCCUCUAGUUAUCCAUAUUUGGUCAAUUCUAGUCCAUGUCAUCUUGGCUUCAGAAAAAAGGUUCCUUCUCUUCCCAGGGGUUCUUUACCCUCCAGAUGUCCACUAAGUCCAUAUUGUCUGUCAUCUCAAAAAAGUUUUCGGUAGUCUACCAUCCUUGGUGACUACCUGUCUUUGAGCCUUGUCCAUAUUUGUAGAUACUACUCCAUUCAUGUCCCCCAUCAAAAUCAAAUUAUAGUCCAAAUGAUCCAAUAAAGUCUCAUGCAACUUUUUAUAGAAUUCAGAUUUCCCCUCGUUCGGUGCAUAAAUUCCCAUGAUUAAGAAUUUCUCUCCUUGUAGUUGAAUUUCAAUUGCCAAAAAUCUUCCUUGAUCAUCUUUAAAGAUAAAUUUCGGUAAAAGUCUCUCCUUUGCAUAAAUCACGACUCCUCUUUUUUUUAACUUUGUCAGAUGAGACAAACUCCUGUCCUAAUCUUUUAUUAAUCAAUAACUUCCUAUGUGCCCUUAUUAUAUGUGUCUCUUGUAGACAAAUCAAGUCCAAUUGUUCUUUUUUAAUAAAUGAAACACACUUUUUCUUUUCGCGGAGAAUUCAAACCGUUACAAUUCCAGCUUAAUAGUUGCAGAGCCAUGGUGGGGGCUACUUCACUUUACCUCCAACUGCCCCAAGUGCCGCUUCUUGUUCUGUGGGUAGUAUCACUUUUUCUGGACCGUGCAGUCCAAAAGAUAAAUUUGAUAUGUCUAGUAUGCCUUUUGGUUCUUCUUCAGAUUCCCCUUCUUUCAGUAGAUCUUCCUCGUGGUCUUUCAAGAAUCUGUCUUUUUCCUCAGUUGAUUUUAUUUUUAUCUUUCUCACUUUAUAUUUUAAGGACAGGCCUUGCGGAAAUUCCCACCUGAAAAGAAUUCUGUUUCUUUUCAAUAAGGUCACUAGGUCUCCGUAAUUGGACCUUAAGUCCAGCAAAUGCUUUGGGAUGUCCUUAAAAAUCACUAGUCUUGAGUCAUCAAUUUCCAAAGUUUUUUGAUAGUGCAAAUUCAGAAUUUUAUCUCUCUCUUCUUUUGUUUGAAAGGUAAUCAAACAGUCUCUCACCUUGCCCUUGCCUUGUCAUCUUCCGAGCCUAAAUGCAUUCACUAUCUUAAAUUCUUCCUUCCCCGGGUCCAAUUGCCAAAAAUCUGUAAAUUCCUGUGUAAGAAAGUCAGCCAAAUUAUCUUUCUCCCGCUCUGGAACAGCCCUAAUUCUCAGAUUUCUCUGUCUAUCUUUUAAUUCAAACAUGGAAAAUGUCACAUCAUGGUCCUCCAAUUUCUUAUAUACAGGUGGAAUUUUCUCCUGAGUAGCAAUUGCAAUAUCUUUUGCUUCCUGUGCAGUUUGUCGAAUCAAGGCAGAUUCCUGUAGUAAUUUUUCGAUAGUCUCUGUGUUGGCAUUCACCUUCUGUCCCAAGGUAUUUAUACUUGCAGUAUUUAAAUCAAUUUUAUUUGAUGCUUCCACAACUUGUCUAUUUGUCUCAACUACUUGCCUAUUUGUUUCUGCUACUUGUCUAUUUGUCUCAAUUACCUGUUUACUUAGGCUUUCCAAAGAUUCAUUAAUUUUUGCCAGAGCCUGUGCCAAAACUUCUUCUGACGUCAUAACUUUUGAUUUAGACUGUGGGAGUGGGGCCCCUAAUGCUCCAGAUGCUCCAGAUGUUGAGCCCCUUCGCGGCAACGCAGUAUCUAUCUGAUAAUAUCUGCCAGAUCUAGUAAUUUUUUCCUGCGAUUCCGCCUUAUCCUCUGCCAUAACAGUCUCAUAGACAUUCAAGGUCGCUCCCACAGUCAACCAAUUGUUUUGACAUAGAGUGGAAUUUUCCUCUUUGUAACUAUUGUUGUAACAAUGUCCAAUCUCCUCUAGGGAGACACAGUAACAGCCAGAACUUGUAACUUUUUAAAAACAAAAAUAGUCUUUAUAAAUCCCCCAAUUUACUUUCGAAGUCCACAGUCUCAAUACAUUUAAACAGUUACUUUUAAGCCAAAAGAGGUUUGGAAACACUGUAUCACUUUUGCAGAAUUGGCUGUCAGAAACAAACUUUCACUAUAAACCUCUGUCUUAAGGCAGUCCGUUCUGAAUCUUAAAUUGUAAAUUCUUCCUUCCUCUCCCCUUCUUUACUGCAGGGAAAUUCAGCUCAGUCUUUUUCACCCUCCUCCCCUGCAAUCCGGAGGGGGAACCACUUUCAAGAUGUUGGAAUUUAGCACAUUUAAAUGACUUUCCAAGUUUCUGCUUUGAAGUCUCUUUGCUUUGAUCUAUUUACAAUUCAGGGGAGGUAGACUUCCUGCUUGUACGUUCCCCGCUCAUGCCAAAUUAACUUUUUUCCCCUUUAAAUCCAAUUUACUCCUACUCACGGGUAGUUGUUUUCAGUGCCAAUUAUCCCAGGAAAAAAGGCAGAGCUCUCCGGUAACAGCUUCGCGGCUUCACUCCACGGAAGAAGCAAUUUGCUCACAGCACCACGCCACCCCGCUCCGCUCCGGAGCCCGUUGCCGAGCUCCUUUAGCAAUUGGGGGGGCGCAAACGGUGCCCGCUGAGUCCCACGUUCACAGGCUUCACCCGCCUGUGAUUUAUUUGGGGGUCCCCGCUGCGCCGUAGCGACAGGACCCAAAUUCCGUAGAGCUAGUUCUCUCCAAAUUAGAGAGAAGCAGCCAUUACCGUUGGCUCCACCUCUUCUUGUACAGUGGUGCCCCGCAAGACGAAUGCCUCGCAAGAUGAAAAACUCGCUAGACGAAAGGGUUUUUCGGUUUUGCGUUGCUUCGCUAGACGAAUUUCCCUAUGGGCUUGCUUCGCAAGACGAAAACGUCUUGCGCUUUUUUUUUAAAGCCGCUUGAAGAGGCGCAGUUGCGACGGACCGUGCUUCGCAAGACGAAAAACAUCGCAAGACAAAAAGACUCGCGGAACGAAUUCUUUUCGUCUUGCGAGGCACCACUGUAUUGUAUUUCCUCUUAUUGACCCCGUUCUCCUUGCUAAUUGUAAGUACUCUAUCAAUGUGGCUUGCCAUUCAAUCUUUGAGGGGAUGAUGUCGUGUUUCCUUUUUCCUCUAUUAAAAUCCUUGCUGCAGUUGAAGCAUACAUGAAUAGUGGUCUGUAUUUCUUUUGGAUUUCUGGUGUCAUAAGACCUAAUAGGAAUGCCUCAGGUUUUUUAGGGAAUGAAAUUUUAAACAUUUUCUUUAACUCAUUGUAGAUGGUAUCCCAAAAAUCUUUAAUCUUGUCACAUUCCCACCACAUAUGCAUGUAAGUUCCAUUUCUUUUUUUGCAUCUCCAACAUAAGUCUGACCUGUUCUUAUAUAUUUUGGCUAGUUUUGCUGGUGUCAAGUGCUAUCUAUAUAACAUUUUCAAAACAUUUUCUCUUAAGUUCAUACAUACAGUAAAUUUGAUGUCAACUCUCCACAGUUUUUCCCACUGACACAUGUAUAUAUUGUGGCCUAAAUUUUGUGCCCAGCGAAUCAUAGAUUCUUUCACUUUCUCCUCCUUUACCUCCCAAUCCAGGAGGAGGUUGUACAUUUUCGAAAUAUAUUUGUUCUUGGAUUGAAGGAGUCCUUUUUCAAAUUUGGAAGUUUCAUUUGCAAAUCCUUUUUAUAUUAUCUAAACUAAAUCUUUCGUUUAAUUGGAAAUAUUGUAGCCAAUCUGUUAAAUAUGUUCUAAUUUUACCAAAUUCUUUCAACUUUAGUUUGUUGUUAUUUUCCUCCAGGAUCAUUCUGUACGUUGCCCAAUUGCUUUGCAUAUUCUUUUUCUUAAUGGCUAUGGCUUCCAAUGGGGAGGUUCACCGGGGGUUUUGGGUUCUAAGAGAUCUUUAUAUUUGUUCCAUAUCUUAUAUAGUGAUUUUCUUACAAUAUGAUUCAAAAAACCCAUGUGGACCUUCACCUUAUCAUAUAUCAUAUAAGCAUGCCAUCCAAAGUGAUUGUCUAAGUCAACUAAAUCUGCAUCUUUCGAAACUAUCCACUCGUUGAUUGGGACAUAUAUCCCAAUUAUCAUAAAAGAUUCCCCUUGUGAUUUUUAUCUUAAUUAUUAUCCUUUCAUUUGCGUCUUUAUAUAUUAGCUUUGGCUCCAGGUUAGGUUUUACGUAUAUCACCAUACCUCUUUUUUUUCCUUUUUUUUUUGUCUGCUGUUAUAAAUUCUGACCCUAGUUUUGGAUUUAUCAACACUCUUGUGUGUUUUUUAUUUAUAUGUGUCUCUCGGAUACAUGCUAUAUCUAAAUUCUGUUUUUCCACUAUGCGUUCUACCUUGUUUCUUUUCUUUUUAUCAUUCAAUCCUUUUAUAUUCCAUGAUAGUAUUUUUAGAUUCAUUCUUUAUUAAUUUGAAUAAAGAAGAAAGAAGACAAGAAAGAAAGAAAGAGGGGAGAAACAGGAAAAAUCAGAUAUUACAAUUAGACAAUUUAAAAAUGCAGUAUUAACUGCACAGAUUGUUUCUAAGAAGUAACUGCUAAAAGUUGCCUUGGUUUGUUAUGCUCUUUCUUAUACUCUUUUUAUUUGUGGUGCCUAGUCACUGUCAUGAUCUUGAUUUGAUAUUCCUGAUUUGUUGCUGGGGUCUUCAUCAAUUGGUUGCCUACCACAAAUUUAAUUAGCAUUAAUCCAUAACUGGGACUUCCAUUUGUUCCUCAGGCUCUAAUUCCUUUUUGUUUCCAUUGCAGAUUGUGAAAAAUUGGAAAUCAAGAACAAGGGUGACCAUGAGAAAAUCCCCAGAGAGGAGAAGCCACAUAAAAAUUUGGAGUGUGGAGAGAGCUGCAAUCAGAGCUCCCAUUCCAUUUCCCAUCAAAUAAAUCUCAUUAGAAAGAAACCCUACCAGUGCAUGGAAUGUGAAAAGAGCUUCAGUCAGUGCUCCUCUCUCACUUCCCAUCAAAGAAUUCAUACAGGGGAGAAACCCUAUCAGUGUGUGGAAUGUGGAAAAAGCUUCAGUCAGAGCUCCAAUCUCACUUGCCAUCAAAGAAUUCAUACGGGGGAGAAACCCUAUCAGUGUGUGGAAUGUGGAAAGAGCUUCAGUCAGUGCUCCUCUCUCACUUCCCAUCACAGAAUUCAUACAGGGGAGAAACCCUAUCAGUGCUUUGAAUGUGGAAAGAGCUUCAGGAAGAGCUCCCAUCUCACUUCCCAUCAAAGAAUUCAUACAGGGGAGAAACCCUAUCAGUGCAUGGAAUGUGGAAAAAACUUCAUGGAUAGCUCCUCUCUCACUUCCCAUCACAGAAUUCAUACAGGGGAGAAACCCUAUCAGUGCAUGGAAUGUGGAAAGAGCUUCAGUCAAAACUUUUCUCUCACUUCCCAUCACAGAAUUCAUACAGGGGAGAAACCCUAUCAGUGUAUGGAAUGUGGAAAGAGCUUCAGUCAGAGCUCACAUCUUACUUCCCAUCAAAGAAUUCAUACAGGGGAGAAACCCUAUCAGUGCAUGGAAUGUGGAAAGAGCUUCAGUACAAAGGACUCUCUCAUAUCUCAUCAAAGAAUUCAUACAGGGGAGAAACCCUAUCAGUGUGUGGAAUGUGGAAAGAGCUUUAGUCAGAGCUGCAGUCUCACUUCCCAUCAAAGAAUUCAUAUGGGGGAGAAACCCUAUCAGUGUGUGGAAUGUGGAAAGAGCUUCAGUACCAGCUCCAAACUCACUAUCCAUCAAAGAAUUCAUACAGGGGAGAAACCCUAUCAGUGCUUUGAAUGUGGAAAGAGCUUCAGGGAGAGCUCCUUUCUCACUUCCCAUCAGAGAAUUCAUACAGGAGAGAAACCAUAUCAGUGCAUGGAAUGUGGAAAGAGCUUCUGUCAGAGAUCCAAUCUCACUUCUCAUCAAAAAACUCAUAGUGAGGAGAAUCAUAGGAUCAUAGAAUUGUGGAGUUGGAAGUGACCUCUAGUGUAAUCUAGUCCACCCCAUGUGAAGCAGGCAUCGCAGCUAAAGCAUCCAUGACAGGUGACCAUCCAACUUCAUAAAAUCUCAAAGGAUGGAGAUUCCAGCACCUUCCAAGGGAGUCCAUUCCACUAACAGCUUUUGCUGUCAAAAGUUCUUCCUCAUGUUUAGUCAGAAAUCUCCGUUCUUUUAACUUGAAGUCAUUGGGUUGAUGUCCUACCCUCUAGAGCAGGAAGAAAAAAAGGUUUGCUCUAUCUUCCAUUAUUUAUAGUUUUAUUGUGUAUUUUGUGUUUUUAUAGUGUGAUUUUCUGUUGUGAUCACUCUGAGACCUAUGGGAAUAGGGUGGUAUACAAAUUCAAUCAAAUCAAUCAAUAAAUCAAUAGAUUCUUGGUUGCCAUCCUCUGUACAUGUUUCAGCUUGUUGAUAUCCUUUUUAUUAUUUAUAAAAGUCAUGUUCUGCCCUUCAUCCGAAGAUUUCAGUAAUGGUUCUUCGUCAUCCUGGGAUGAAGUGACAAGUGAGAUGCCACAUGAUUCUGUCCUGGGCCCGUUGUUGCUCAACUACUUUAUAAAAAAAAAUUCGGUGGAGGAAUUCAGGGGAUGCUGAUGAAAUUUUCAGGUGAACCAAACUGGGAAGAGCAGCUAAUGCCACAAAAGACAGAAUUGGGAUUCAAAAUGACCUUAAUGGAUUGGAGAACCGGGCCCAAGCUCACAAAAUGAAUUUCAGUAGGGAGAAAAGUAAAGCUUUGCACUUAGGCAGGAAGAACCAGAUGCACCAAUAUAAGACGGAGGUUUGAUGGACAGCAGAGUCUGGGGAUGCAGUGCCUGAGAAUUCCACCAGAGGGCCAGAGCCUCUCUGAUUGGCUACCUUGACAGAGGGAAGGGGAUGGAGCCAGGACUUUGGGCAGGGCAAUAAAAGGGAGAGAGUUGAAGAGGGCUGGAUUUGAGAUGGGAGAGAGGGUUGGAUGGAGGGAGAACUGGCUCUGAUCAUCUGUGAGGAGAAUAUAGAGCCAGGGGAAUAUCUAUAGAGUCAGACUUGUCAGUUUGUAUUUCUUAGUACAGAAAGUAUUGAUCUGAUUGGACACGACUAAACAACAACAACAACAAACUACAAGCCUAUCUCUCUGCUAAACAAUGACUACAAAUGGUUUGCAAAUAUACCGUGUUGUUGUUGUUGUUGUUGUUGUUGUUGUUGUUAUCGUUUAGUCGUUUAGUCGUGUCCGACUCUUUGUGAACCCAUGGACUAGAGCAUGCCAGGCACUCCUGUCUUCCACUGCUUCCCGCAGUUUGGUCAAACUCAUGUUUGUAGCUUCGAGAACGCUGUCCCACCUGUUAGGAUAUUUCCGUUCCACCUUAAAAGGGAGCAGGCUGUGAGUCACAGAGUCUGCGUAUUUCCUGUUCACAGGAUGUUUAUGUUUGCUAUUGCUUUCGUUUUCUCUCUGUGUGUCGUAGACACUAAAGCAGGCAGUCAUGUUUUUCUGUGUUCUGAUCAACGCUGAAUAAACUUGUAAAUAAUGCUCUCCUGAGUGCAACUUUUGGCUGUGCAUUAUCUGCUGAUAGAGUGUGCAUGAGCUCUGGAAUGUGGCAAGAAAUCUUCUAGAAACUCAUGUCGCUAAUUGCUGAUACUGCGUACCUACGGGAGAUCGAUGGAUCGUCCGGCAGCCGGCUUGGGGGCCAUGAUGGACUUUGUCUCCCUGGCAGUAUCCCAACACCACCAUCUCCAAGAAAGUAAAAUCUCACACUGCCUCCAUUUCCUCCCCUUCUAUUUGCCAGGAGGUGAUGGGCCCAGUGGCCAUGAUCUUCGUUUUUUUGAUGUUGAGCCUCAGACCAUAUUUUGUGCUCUGCUCUUUCACCCUCAUUAAAAGGUUCUUUAAUUCCGCGUCACUUUCUGCCAUCAAGGUUGUGUCAUCUGCAUAUCUGAGGUUGUUGAUAUUUCUUCCAGCAAUCUUAAUUCCAGUUUGGGAUUCAUCCAGCCCAGCCCAGGACUGCAGUAAAAUUAAAAUGUUUUGGGAAAUGAUAUCUAAUGAGCUAAAGAAAACGUUCCAUUCAACAUUUGUGAAAAAGCCUGAAGCUUUCUUAUUAGGGAUUGAGGGAAAAGACCUGCCAAAGAAAUUAAAAAAUAUUUUUAUGUAUGCGACAACAGCGGCAAGAGUCUUCAUAGCACAAGGGUGGAAGAGUGAGGAAAUCCUGAUGAAAGAACUGUGGCAAGAAAAACUGAUGGACUAUGCGGAAUUGGCAAAAUUAACACACAAACUACGUGAGAAUGAUAAUUGUGAUUUCAUUUUUGUUCCUUCAAAUGAUUUUUAUUAAGGUUUCAAUAGAAAGUUAAACAGAAAAACAUAAAAGUAGAAGUACAAAAAUACACAAUACAGAAUCC
rnacentral:lncRNA from 1 species